rnacentral:tRNA from 1 species
UCCCUGAUAGUCUAGUGAGUAGGAUUCAGUGCUUUCACUGCUGUAGCCAGGUUCAAUCCCUGGUCUGGGCG